rnacentral:rRNA from 1 species
GACGAACGCUGGCGGCGUGCUUAACACAUGCAAGUCGAACGGAAAGGCCCUGCUUUUGUGGGGUGCUCGAGUGGCGAACGGGUGAGUAACACGUGAGUAACCUGCCCUUGACUUUGGGAUAACUUCAGGAAACUGGGGCUAAUACCGGAUAGGAGCUCCUGCUGCAUGGUGGGGGUUGGAAAGUUUCGGCGGUUGGGGAUGGACGCGCGGCUUAUCAGCUUGUUAGUGGGGUAGUGGCUUACCAAGGCUUUGACGGGUAGCCGGCCUGAGAGGGUGACCGGCCACAUUGGGACUGAGAUACGGCCCAGACUCCUACGGGAGGCAGCAGUGGGGAAUAUUGCACAAUGGGCGGAAGCCUGAUGCAGCAACGCCGCGUGCGGGAUGACGGCCUUCGGGCUGUAAACCGCUUUCGCCUGUGACGAAGCGUGAGUGACGGUAAUGGGUAAAGAAGCACCGGCUAACUACGUGCCAGCAGCCGCAGUAA